rnacentral:misc_RNA from 2 species
CGGGCGUCCUCACAAAUUACCUGCAUUCAGAGAUGCGUAUCGGCACAGGCCGGUAUGCGAAAGUCCCAUCAUGGGGCCUUAGCUCAGCUGGGAGAGCACCUGCUUUGCAAGCAGGGGGUCGUCGGUUCGAUCCCGACAGGCUCCACCAUUUGAGUGAAACGACUUUGGGUCUGUAGCUCAGGUGGUUAGAGCGCACCCCUGAUAAGGGUGAGGUCGGUGGUUCGAGUCCUCCCAGACCCACCACUCUGAAUGUAGUGCACACUUAAGAAUUUAUAUGGAUCAGCGUUGAGGCUGAGACAUGUUCUUUUAUAACUUGUGACGUAGCGAGCGUUUGAGAUAUCUAUCUAAACGUGUCGUUGAGGCUAAGGCGGGGACUUCGAGUCCCUAAAUAAUUGAGUCGUAUGUUCGCGUUGGUGGCUUUGUACCCCACACAACACGGCAGAUAGCUCCGAGGCAACUUGGGGUUAUAUGGUCAAGCGAAUAAGCGCACACGGUGGAUGCCUAGGCGGUCAGAGGCGAUGAAGGACGUGGUAGCCUGCGAAAAGUGUCGGGGAGCUG